UAGUCAUAUGCUUGUCUCAAAGAUUAACCCCUUUAUGUCUAAGUAUAAGCAAUCUAUACGGUGAAACUGCGAAUGGCUCAUUAAAUCAGUUAUCGUUUAUUUGAUAGUACCUUACUACUUGGAUAACCGUGGUAAUUCUAGAGCUAAUACAUGCUAAAAACCCCGACUUCGGAAGGGGUGUAUUUAUUAAAUAAAAAACCAAUGCCCUUCGGGGCUCCCUGGUGAUUCAUAAUAACUUAACAAAUCGCAGGGCCUUGUGCCGGCAAUGGUUCAUUCAAAUUUCUGCCCUAUCAACUUUCGAUGGUAGGAUAGUGGCCUACCAUGGUUUCAACGGGUAACGGGGAAUUAGGGUUCUAUUCCGGAAAGGGAGCCUGAAAAACGGCUGCCACAUCCAAGGAGGGCAGCAGGCGCGCAAAUUACCCAAUCCCGACACGGGGAGGUAGUGACAAUAAAUACUGAUACAGGGCUCAUUUGGGUCUUGUAAUUGGAAUGAGUACAAUUUAAAUCCCUUAACGAGGAACAAUU
rnacentral:rRNA from 1 species